UCCACGUGGUGUUCAGACGUCUUUGCCUCAGUUAACAUCACAAAAAGUCCAGUCUUGCGUGCUUUGUCUUCUAUAAAUUGUAAUUUUUGAUCUCAUUUAGUCAUUGUAGCACUUCAUCAUUGUGACUGCACUAAUAAUUUGGAUAGUGUGCAGUGGGGUAUUUUAGAUUUUAUAAUUACAGAAUAACUUUGCUUGAUUGCACAUCCAAGUAUGAAGUCUGUUCAAGAACGUCAACGCCGGUGUCACAGAUGCUGACUAUGUUCUCUACAAUUUCAGGAUUUGUGGAAUGAACACAUGGGGGAUCAUGAUCCGUAUAACUUCCAACACAUGGGACCACCAAGGGACCUGACUCACCCGAUAUCAAUUUCGACCAAGCCAACGUAUAACCGAAUUUACAGCGUGUUUAUGUUUAAUCACGGCGUUUCCUUACGUCAGUUUUUACUAGGGGAUUUGCCGUAAUAAAAAAAGCUUUCAUAUUUUGCAAGACACCAGACUGGAGGAGAAUAAGCCAUAUCGGGGGUUUUCAAGCCGACUACGCACACAUGUUCAAACUUUGGCCAAUAAAAAGUGGAUAAACUGGGUCAACUUAUUAAACAUGGAUUUCAGCAAAAUAGAGUCCUCAGCCACACAGCUUUCAGCUGUGGCGAACCAGAUAUGAAAUUAAAACUAAAAGUUAUAUUUUUUAAUCAAACCUAUUUUUCAUUACGACGAUUUUAUUUCUGAUUUAUGUUUCCAUUAUCUUGAGAGUUUGAAAUAUUUAUCUUUAUUUAAAUUUUGUUAUUAACUCGCUUUAUUUCUGCUAGGAAAUGUAGACAUCGGUAGUGAAUUACAUUGUAAUAAUCAUUUGGUAUUCUGAUAAUGUCUUAGUCGCAUAAUAAAUUUCCCUUUUGCGUGUUCUAUGUAAUGUUCUGCGUAAUAGAUCCAAUUCUGUAUCAAAUACAUUGCACUCAAACUUAAUGAUUUUGACAUCAAUACAUACCAUUUGGUUAUUUCAUUGUUUUUACUAAAUUAUUUGAACAGGAACCGAUUUUUUUAAAGGCAUAAGACUAA